CCUACAAAUAUCAGUGAACUCUAUGAGCUGCAAUAUCUUGGCUUACGCUAUUGCUGGAGGCUUGGGUCAUUACAAAAACUUCCACCUCGGCUUGCAAAACUAGAUGCACACAGCUGCACAUCUCUGAGAACAGUCUCAAGCUCAUCAACUACAGUUGAUGGAAAAAAAUUUUAAUUCAUCUUUACUAAUUGUCUCAUGUUGUGAGACUGCACACAACAAUAUCAUGGCAUACGCUCUCUUGAAAAUUCAGCUACAUGCCAAAAGACUUUACAGUGAGAUUUUAUCAGUAGCAGCUGGGGUAUCUAGUUUUUGCUUCCCUGGAUGUAAAGUUCCAGCAUGGUUUGUCCAGCAGAAUUCAGCAGCUUCUGUGACAAUUCAGCUGCCUUCAGAUCGCGCAAGUAGUGAGUUACUGAGUUUCAUGCACUGUUGUUGCAUUUGAACCCUCUUAUGAUGACUCUGGUGGAUUCCAAGUUAAAUGUACUUGCCAUUUCAAGAAUGACCAUGUCAAUCCCUGCGUUCUCCAUUGCUACUUUGCCGGUUGCUAUGGCUCAUUGCACAAACAAUCUAUCCGGUCAGAUCACCUUUUUUUUGGAUAUGAUCCCUGUUUGAAUGCUACAAAAGAUUUUUGGUAUGGUAAAUUCAGUGAAGUCUCAGUUGAAUUCUCCGUGGAAGAUAUGGACAACAACCCCUUGCAUUAUUGUCAUGUUAGAAAGUGUGGGGUUCGCCAACUACACACCCAUACUGUCAGGUAUUUGCAGCAACUCCAAUGGAAUUUAGACAGUUUGUACAAAAAUUCACUAAUGCUGGUGGGCGGAAAAACCUAGAGAUGCCGUGAUAACAAGCGUGACAAUGAGGCGGAACCCGGUGGAAGUGGCUUCAAGAAUGGUGCAGAAUCUACCACAAAUGACUUGAAGGUUUACAGUCGGAGACCUAAAAGGUUCAAAGAAAUCAAAUGAAAUUGUUUCAUUUGGCCAAAAGAAUUAUAUGGAAAGUAUUCCAACAAAAGCUUUCUGUACGUAGUCAGAGUCACUCAGUUUCUUUCUACAGUGAGGAUGAAAUUAUUUGGUUUGUAUCUCUAUCUCACCUGGAGUUAAGUUAUUAUAAUUCAUUUGUUUGUAACUCUAUUUAAAACUCAUGAGUGUAUAUUGUUUAAGAUUGUCUUGAAUUCUCAUAAAAACUAGUUUAAAUUCUUAUAAUAAUAUUUCAAUGUUUCCUGUAAA